rnacentral:rRNA from 1 species
CCUACGGGUGGCAGCAGUGGGGGAUAUUGGACAAUGGGGGCAACCCUGAUCCAGCGACGCCGCGUGAGUGAAGAAGUAUUUCGGUAUGUAAAGCUCUAUCAGCAGGGAAGAAAGAAAUGACGGUACCUGAGUAAGAAGCCCCGGUUAACUACGUGCCAGCAGCCGCGGUAAUACGUAGGGGGCAAGCGUUAUCCGGAAUUACUGGGUGUAAUGGGAGCGUAGACGGUAAUGCAAGUCUGGAGUGAAAGUCGGGGGCCCACCCCGCGAACUGCUCUGGAAACUGUGUGACUGGAGUGCAGUAGAGGCAGGCAGAAUUCCUGGUGUAGCGGUGAAAUGCGUAGAGAUUAGGAGGAACACCAGUGGCGAAGGCGGCCUGCUGGAC